rnacentral:rRNA from 1 species
CCUCUGACGUUAGCGGCGGACGGGUGAGUAACACGUGGAUAACCUACCUAUAAGACUGGGAUAACUUCGGGAAACCGGAGCUAAUACCGGAUAACAUGUUGAACCGCAUGGUUCAACAGUGAAAGACGGUCUUGCUGUCACUUAUAGAUGGAUCCGCGCCGCAUUAGCUAGUUGGUAAGGUAACGGCUUACCAAGGCAACGAUGCGUAGCCGACCUGAGAGGGUGAUCGGCCACACUGGAACUGAGACACGGUCCAGACUCCUACGGGAGGCAGCAGUAGGGAAUCUUCCGCAAUGGGCGAAAGCCUGACGGAGCAACGCCGCGUGAGUGAAGAAGGUCUUCGGAUCGUAAAACUCUGUUAUUAGGGAAGAACAAAUGUGUAAGUAACUAUGCACGUCUUGACGGUACCUAAUCAGAAAGCCACGGCUAACUACGUGCCAGCAGCCGCGGUAAUACGUAGGUGGCAAGCGUUAUCCGGAAUUAUUGGGCGUAAAGCGCGCG